AUUGAACGCUGGCGGCAUGCCUUACACAUGCAAGUCGAACGGCAGCACGGGUGCUUGCACCUGGUGGCGAGUGGCGAACGGGUGAGUAAUACAUCGGAACGUACCUUAUCGUGGGGGAUAACGCAGCGAAAGCUGUGCUAAUACCGCAUACGCCCUGAGGGGGAAAGCGGGGGAUCGCAAGACCUCGCGCGAUUAGAGCGGCCGAUGCCUGAUUAGCUUGUUGGUGGGGUAAAAGCCCACCAAGGCGACGAUCAGUAGCUGGGAUGAGAGGAAGAUCAGCCACACUGGGACUGAGACCCGGCCCGGACUCCUACGGGAGGCAGCAGUGGGGAAUUUUGGACAAUGGGGGCAACCCUGAUCCAGAAAUGCCGCGUGAGUGAAGAAGGCCUUCGGGUUGUAAAGCUCUUUUGUCAGGGAAGAAACACCGGCUCUAACACAGUCUGGGAAUGACGGUACCUGAAGAAUAAGCACCGGCUAACUACGUGCCAGCAGCCGCCGCCG
rnacentral:rRNA from 1 species